GCCACAAUAUACUCACUCAGCAAUCGUCUUUUGUAUACUUUCAUAUAUACAUUAUCGUGCUUGUUGUUAAGCAAAACAUGGCAUCCUCAAAGGCUUUUCUUCUUCUUGGUCUUGUCUUUGUUGUUCUCCUCAUCUCCUUUGAGGUCUCAGCUAUUCCAACUCAGUCGGAGAAGAGUACAGUCAACGGUGAUGGCCACUGAUAUGGAGGUUAUGGCCACGGACAUGGAGGGUAUGGCACGGACAUGGAGGAUAUGGCCACGGCCACCGCGGCAAAGGGGGACCUGGUGUUGCUGAGACGAAAAUCAAGAAUUAGAUAACCUGUUAGUUUCUGUAACGACCCGGUCCUAAAUAAAUGUUUAAUUAUUAAUUAAACAUGAUAAAA